GUGCUCACUUCAGCAGUAUGUAUAUUAAAAUUGGAAUGAUACAGAGAAGAUUAGCACGGCCCCUGCGCAAGGAUGACAUGCAAAUUCGUGAAGUGUUCCAUAUUUUU
ensembl:snRNA U6 U6 spliceosomal RNA